GACGAACGCUGGCGGCGUGCUUAACACAUGCAAGUCGAACGGAAAGGCCCUGCUUUUGUGGGGUGCUCGAGUGGCGAACGGGUGAGUAACACGUGAGUAACCUGCCCUUGACUUUGGGAUAACUUCAGGAAACUGGGGCUAAUACCGGAUAGGAGCUCCUGCUGCAUGGUGGGGGUUGGAAAGUUUCGGCGGUUGGGGAUGGACUCGCGGCCUAUCAGCUUGUUGGUGGGGUAGUGGCUUACCAAGGCUUUGACGGGUAGCCGGCCUGAGAGGGUGACCGGCCACAUUGGGACUGAGAUACGGCCCAGACUCCGACGGGAGGCAGCAGUGGGGAAUAUUGCACAAUGGGCGGAAGCCUGAUGCAGCAACGCCGCGUGCGGGAUGACGGCCUUCGGGUUGUAAACCGCUUUCGCCUGUGACGAAGCGUUAGUGACGGUAAUGGGUAAAGAAGCACCGGCUAACUACGUG
rnacentral:rRNA from 1 species